rnacentral:rRNA from 1 species
GACGAACGCUGGCGGCGCGCCUAAUACAUGCAAGUCGAGCGGGGAGGCGGGCGGAAGCCUUUGGGUGGACGUCCGUCUCUUAGCGGCGGACGGGUGAGGAACACGUAGGCAACCUGUCCUAAAGACCUGGAUAACACCGGGAAACCGGUGCUAAUACCGGAUAGAUUGUCCUGGCGCAUGCUGGGGCAAGGAAAGGGGCGACCCGCUAUAGGAGGGGCCUGCGGCGCAUUAGCUGGUUGGUGGGGUAACGGCCUACCAAGGCGAUGAUGCGUAGCCGGCCUGAGAGGGUGACCGGCCACACUGGGACUGAGACACGGCCCAGACUCCUACGGGAGGCAGCAGUAGGGAAUCUUCCGCAAUGGGCGGAAGCCUGACGGAGCGACGCCGCGUGGGGGAGGAAGGCCUUCGGGUUGUAAACCCCUGUUGUCGGGGAAGAAGGGCUGCGUGAGCGGCAUUGACGGUACCCGACGAGGAAGCCCCGGCUAACUACGUGCCAGCAGCCGCAGUAA